rnacentral:lncRNA from 1 species
GUUAGGCGCAAACAUAAAGGGGCAGGGGCUGUUUAGUAAUUUUAGGGGCAGGGGCAAUUUAGUAACUUUAUUAUUAAUUAGGGUUUAGCUAUAAAUAAGAGAUUAUGGAGUCAUUUAGGGUUUAUGUUGAGUUUUGUCUGGUAUUAGGAACCAUUAGGAGUUUUGGGAGAGAUUGACCUACCUCUCGAAUUGUAGGUCAGGAUUGAUUGUUUGUUUCUUUUGAUUUAAUCAAUAAAAGUUAGCCCUAAUUUAGCCCUAAGUCCUAUCAAAGUGGUAUCAGAGCAAGAAUCCUGAGACAAUGGCAGCGAAGAAAGUGGACGCGCUUGAAGAAAAAUUGGAAGCAGAGGUCAGAUCACUCAAGGCUACGAUUGAUGAGCAAUUCAACACCGUUCAACAACAAUUUUCAUCUCUUGAAGCCAUGCUGUUGAAAUUGACGGAACUCCACCUCAACCCUCCUCCGGCAGCAUCGAGGGGCCAUGGCGGUGUGGCAGGAGAAGGAUCCGGGGUUACGAAACCCGUGGUAGGCGACGGCGCAGAAAUCAGAGUGACCGGGCUCGGCGACUCGGGGGCGUUUGGGGGUGAGGCACAACCUGGACAGGCGGAAUUUGGGCCCGAGCAGGGAGGACUUGGGUCUGAACAGGUUGGAUUUGGGGGCGGUAGGCCAGGAGGAGGGAUUUCUGGUGAGAAAGGGAGCGGUUAUGGCCGAAAUACGGCUGGGCAAGGGAAUCCAGCCCACUAUGGUGCUGGGCAAGCAGAAUUUUGGGCUGGAUCUUUAGGAUUUGCAGACACUGGAGUAGACUGGGGAGGUUGGAGACCUCCGAUGGCACGAAAUUGGGCGGGUCAGACUCAAUUUGGAGUAGAUUCUAGGGUAAGGAAACUGAAAAUGCCUAUUUUUGAAGGCGAGGAUGCCUAUGGAUGGGUGUAUAGGGCAGAGCGCUAUUUCGCCAUUAAUGGACUCUCAGAAAGGGAAAAAUUGAUGGCGGCGGCGUUAUGCUUGGAGGGAAAGGCCCUUGCGUGGUUUCAAUGGCGAGAACAACGACAACCAAUGAGGUCGUGGGGUGAAUUUAAGGAUCGGCUGUUGGAGAGGUUUCAGGCCACUCAAGAGGGAGGUUUGCAUGAACAGUUUUUUGCUCUGACCCAGGAGAGAACGGUUAUGGAGUAUAGGGAGAAGUUUGAGUUGCUAUCAGGGCGUCUAGGGGGGCUUCCAGAGGCGGUGUUGGAAGGGAAUUUUAUGAAGGGACUGAAGCUAGAAAUCCGAGCCUCGCUACGCUUGCUAAGGCCGAGAGGGUUAGGGGAGUCAAUGGAGUUGGCACAGAUGAUUGAGGAUAAGAACACAAUAGAACGGAUUAAUAGGAGCAGUUUAGUCGAUUUUUCAUAUCGAAAUAACACACCAUUGGUAGGACAGAAAACUCAGACUUUGGGGUUUCAGCGAGAGUUCCAAAAUACACUAUCGGGAGGCCAGAAAAUGCAAAUGAUGGGUUUACAGAGAGAUUCCCAAAGGGAUCGGGUUAGUGGGGCACGACUAGGGGUGACUUUCAAACGCCUCACAGAGACAGAGAUUCAAGAUAAGAGGGCGAAGGGGGUGUGUUUUCGAUGCGAUGAGAAAUUUUCACCAGGGCAUCGAUGUAAGGAUAAAUCACUACAAGUCCUGACUGUGUGUGACGAGGAAGAAGGCGAGGAAGAAGAGGCAGCAGUUUUCUAGAUUUCACCUUGAGGACAAGGUGUCUUUUUGGGAGGGGAGUAAUGUUAGGUCCAUGAAAACUUAUGUUAGGCGCAAAUAUAAAGGGGCAGGGGCUGUUUAGUAAUUUUAGGGGCAGGGGCAAUUUAGUAACUUUAUUAUUAAUUAGGGUUUAGCUAUAAAUAAGAGAUUAUGGAGUCAUUUAGGGUUUAUGUUGAGUUUUGUCUGGUAUUAGGAACCAUUAGGAGUUUUGGGAGAGAUUGACCUACCUCUCGAAUUGUAGGUCAGGAUUGAUUGUUUGUUUCUUUUGAUUUAAUCAAUAAAAGUUAGCCCUAAUUUAGCCCUAAGUCCUAUCA